GUCCACACCGUAAACGUUGGGCGCUAGGUGUGGGACUCAUUCCACGAGUUUCGUGCCGCAGCUAACGCAUUAAGCGCCCCGCCUGGGGAGUACGGCCGCAAGGCUAAAACUCAAAGGAAUUGACGGGGCCCGCACAAGCGGCGGAGCAUGCGGAUUAAUUCGAUGCAACGCGAAGAACCUUACCUAGGUUUGACAUAUACGAGAAGCCUCUAGAGAUAGAGGUCUCUUUGGACACUCGUAUACAGGUGUGCAUGGCUGUCGU
rnacentral:rRNA from 1 species